rnacentral:rRNA from 1 species
AGCAGCCGCGGUAAUACCGGCGGCUCGAGCGGUGGCCACUUUAUUGGGCUUAAAGCGUUCGUAGCUGGGUUAUUAAGUCCCUUGGGAAAUCCGACAGCUUAACUGUCGGGCGUCUAAGAGAUACUGGUAAUCUUGGAACCGGGAGAGGUGAGGGGUACUUCGGGGGUAGGAGUGAAAUCCUGUAAUCCUCGAGGGACCACCUGUGGCGAAGGCGCCUCACCAGAACGGCUUCGACAGUGAGGGACGAAAGCUGGGGGAGCAAACCGGAUUAGAUACCCGGGUAGUCCCAGCCGUAAACGAUGUGCGUUAGGUGUAUCGGUGACCACGAGUCACCGAGGUGCCGAAGGGAAACCGUGAAACGUACCGCCUGGGAAGUACGGUCGCAAGGCUGAAACUUAAAGGAAUUGGCGGGGGAGCACCACAACAGGUGGAGCCUGCGGUUUUAAAUUGGACUCAACGCCGGAAAUCUCACCGGAUAAGACAGCAGAAUGAUUGCCGGGCUGAAGACUCUGCAUGACUAGCUGAGUAGUGGUGCAUGG